CAAUAGCGUAUAUUUAAGUUGCUGCAGUUAAAAAGCUCGUAGUUGGAUUUCGGGUGGGAAUGGCCGGUCCGCCGUUUCGGUGUGCACUUGCUACGCCCACCUUGCUGCCGGGGACGUGCUCUUGAGUUCACGCUCGGGACACGGAGUCGGCGAGGUUACUUUGAGUAAAUUAGAGUGUUCAAAGCAGGCCUACGCUCUGAAUACAUUAGCAUGGAAUAACACGAUAGGACUCUGGCCUAUCUUGUUGGUCUGUAGGACCGGAGUAAUGAUUAAGAGGGACAGUCGGGGGCAUUCGUAUUUCAUUGUCAGAGGUGAAGUUCUUGGAUUUAUGAAAGACGAACUACUGCGAAAGCAUUUGCCAAGGAUGUUUUCAUUAA
rnacentral:rRNA from 1 species